GCUCGUCUCACUCUCGUGAAUUCGUAUUUUGUUUCAAGAAGACUUAUUGCGGUUUAGAGGGUCGGCUUCAAAUGGGUGCAAAGGAUAACGUUAGGGUGUAUAGGGUAGGCUGAAACAAGGAAAAUAAAAAUCAAAGUAUGUGUGGCGUUUUGGGGGGGUAGAGGGAAUGGUAGAAUGAAUGGAUGCUCGGAAGCAACAAGAAAUAAUAACAAAAUAAAACUCACAAGACUUUUCACUUUUUUUUUAUACUUCGAAUUUUUUUUGAAUUUUUUUUCGAUUUUUUUUUAAUUUCCUCUUCUUCUUUUUUUUUUAUUUUUUUUGUUCAAUUACAAUAUGCUAAAAUACAAAGGGAAGAGAAAAGAAAAA
rnacentral:lncRNA from 1 species